rnacentral:rRNA from 1 species
AACGAACGCUGGCGGCAUGCCUAACACAUGCAAGUCGAACGAUACCUUCGGGUCUAGUGGCGCACGGGUGCGUAACGCGUGGGAACCUGCCCUUAGGUUCGGAAUAACUCCCCGAAAGGGGUGCUAAUACCGGAUAAUGGCUUCGGACCAAAGAUUUAUCGCCUUUGGAUGUGCCCGAGUUGGAUUAGCUAGAUGGUAGGUUAAAAGCCUACCAAGGCGACGAUCCAUAGCUGGUCAGAGAGGAUGAUCAGACACACUGGGACUGAGACACGGCACAGACUCCUACGGGAGGCAGCAGUGGGGAAUAGUGGACAAUGGGCGAAAGCAUGAUCCAGCAAUGACGCGUGAGUGAUGAAGGCAGUAGGGUUGUAAAGCUCUUUUAACCGGGAUGAUAAUGACAGUACCGGGAGAAUAAGCCCCGGCUAACUCCGUG